GAUUAAGCACUCACUUGGUGAGGACCCAGAGCCAGGAGGCUACCAGACUUCUCAGACCCCAGACGGAAUUUGACAUCUGUAGCAUCCAGACCCACGCCCUGUCCUCACGCAUCACUGUCUCUCCUCCAGACCCUCCUGUCCCCUCCGGGCCAAUCCCGUGCGGGCAGGUGAGCCCUCAGUGCAACGGUGUCUUGGAGGUUACCUCACCACCUCACCACUUCUUGGGCACCUCCAGCAUGCUGGGAACCCACCGCUUACUACCCCCAUCCCCAUUUCCAGGUCCUCAGGUGUGGUUGGGCUCACGGGGACCGAUGGAAAGUCUUCUGGAUGGGAUGCAUUCAACAAAUGAUAAUAAGGAUAGAAGGGAUAAUAUUGGCAGAAAAGAAGAAUAAAUUAGGAAGAGAGAGGAAAAAAAAUAUGGAUUCUAUGAGGAGACAGAAUCCAAAGUAGGGGAGUAAAAACCAAAGAAGAAAAGAGUAUGCAUUCACGUCAUGCAGAAGAAUGCGAGUCAGGCUGGAAGAGGCAUACGUAUUUUUUAUUAAAAGGACUCAAAAGUUAGUUAACAUCUGCUGUUAGCUCUAGGAAGGCAGACCUUACCCCGGCAUUCACCUCCACGUCCCCAGUGCCUAGCACAGCACGACAUACAAUGGUGCUCACCUCUUGAAGACCCAGCCAAAGUUCAUCUCCAGGAAGUCUUCACUGGUUUGGCACCAGAUGAAGGCUCACUCUACUGAGUACCCCAUCAACAUUUCCUUUCUUGGUAAGUGCUCUCUGGGUUUCAGGUUUGGUGGUUGACCUGUUUUCAUGAUGCUUUAUCAACAAUCUUCAGGUGUUUCCUGUCACCCCAGCAAGGGAGGGCAAGAAUAGGUCUUUCUCUUCAAAGGAAAACAAGUCCUUUUUCCCUACUCUGGUCUGUGCCCUGCAUUCAUUGAGCCCUUAAUCAUUACUGGUGAGCUAAAGGGAGUGAGGAGGAGGUCCCCACACAAUGGUGUGUGGGGACGAGGGCAGAGGGUGCCCUGGAGAGCAGCUCGGAUGAAACAAUCCAGAUCCCCUAUGUCCCCAAGGCUCCUUGUUGAUCAGGAUGGGAAGGACACUGUAAAAGGCAAAAGUCCCAGAAAAAUUAGAUUUUUAGUCUUCUUGGAAAUCAAGUACCUUCUGAGGCUUACUGAGAAAAUGCAACCUCUCUGUUCACUCAUUCAUUCAUUUAUUCAGAACAAUGUGUUGAGCAUUGACUGGACUGUGGGUACUAGGAACAUACAGAUAGACCCAAUGCCAGUCCUCAAAACCCCCAAGGUCUAAUGGGGACACAGGCUAGUGAACAGCCAAUUACUGUGGCGCAGGAGAGGUGCCACGAGGGAGGAAAGUGCAGGGCUCUGUGGGAGCACAGAAAGGGAGGGGCUGGAGGAGGCCAUGGAAGGUUCCAGAAUCAGUGACUAAGAGUUGAGCACUGAAGGGCCAGUGGGAAUUAGCCAUGUGAAGAAUUAGGAAGAGGAACCAGCACUUGUGAAAGCAUGAAGGGAAGACAACAUAGAAGGCCAAGGGAUUUAUAAGCAAUUCAUUAUGACGGGGGCCGCCUGAGCAGGAGAUCCGGGAGAGGUGCGUGAAGAGGGUGGCAGGAGCCAGAUCUCAUAGUGUCUGUCCAGUAGGUUCUGCAAAGGCUAUUUGGACCUUUUGUUGGAGGUAGAGAGCCUGGAAGGCUUUCAAGCAUAGGGGUGACAUGAUUGGAUUUUCCUGUUAGGGGUGAUCACUCUGCCUGCUGAGGGACGGAAUGGGAGCAAGUGACGCAGAAGGUGAGGAGGCCAGAGGGAAAGAUACUGCUUGUCCCAGCUGACACAAUGUGGGUAUGAACUGGUAUGGGAUACUUUAGGGGUACAGUCACAGGCUCAGUGACCUGGGUGGACCUUGAAGGCCCUGAGGGGUCCAUGGCAGACCUGAGUGGGUAGUUCAGGGGGAUUUAGAUGUUGCCUGGAGUUCAGGAGACAGGCUGGGGCUGGGUCUCCAAGGAGAUCUGGAGUCUGCAUGGAUGAGGCCUCCAACAUAGAGGAGAUGACACUAGGGGCGGAGGAGCAGAAGAGGGGAAAGCAGGGACAUCUAGGGACCUAGAAGAGAAGGAGGAGCCACAAGGGGAAUGGAGAAGGCAGGGUCAUAGAUAGAGAAGGUAAGUUGGGGGCAGUGAUGGCAUAGAAGCCCCAGUGGCGGCAGGUGGCAGAGACAAAGGCAGCUGAGCUCAGGCAUUUGGAGUCAGCAACACUGGGGUGAUGCUUUCAAUGGGACGGUGUGGGGCAGAGGCUGAGACCAUGGGCAGAAGGAGGAGCGGGAAAUGAGACAGGAAAAAGACUCAGGGCUGCCCUUUGAAGGAAUCUGAAUAUAAAGGAAUUAAUGAAAAGGGGUGGUGAUAGAAGGGAAUGUCAGAUUAAAGAAGUGUCUCGUUUGUUUGAGACUUUUUGGUUUGGGAUGGAAGAAAUGUAUGGAGGGAAAUGGGUCCAGCAUGAGUAGUUAGGGAUGUAGGGGAAAUAAGAGAAGAGAAUUCAGAGAG